GCAAAUUGAAAGAAUCCAUCAUUGAUACAAUUUAAAGAGAAACUAUUACCAAUCAUCAAAAUUUCUUUGUUUUCUUUCUUAAUAGAGUUAAGUGAAUUCUUGCUCCUCUUUUUUUGGAAUUUCACUUCUCCCGAUUAAUCUAAUACCCAAUAACCUUUUCUCUUCACCUUUCACGUUUCUACGCCCACCUUUCAUGUUCUAGCCCUUUUUCCAUGUUUCUAGAUCUCUUUCUUGAAGGUUUUCACAAAUUUUUCAUCAAAAUACAUAUUUUAAUUCAAGAAAUUUUCUCUAUCGUUAAAUGAAAUCUCUUUAUCAAUUAAAGUUGAUUUCUCGAUUGGCAAGGUAAUUUCCAUUAUUUAUUUUGAUUUGAUGUUUAAGAUCACCGAUUAUGGUAUGUAUUUCAGAUUCUAUGUCUUACGAAUUUUAAUAUCACUGUUUAUGAUUUAUAUUUCGCAUUGCACAUAUUACAGAUUUUUCGUUGCAUUUUUUUAUUUUUAUGCAAGUUUGUUUACAUAAUCAUUUAAUAUUUAUACAUCUCAGCUUUUUAAUCGAUUAAAUAUUUUUUUCAAUUUUUUUAUUUAGUUUUUAAUAUUUCAGAUUUAUUAGAAUCUAUAAAUUCAUUCAUAUGUAUAUUUUGUUUGACUUUUAAUAUAUUUUUAUUUGCUUUUAGGGUUUUAGAUUCGGGAAAACAUAUGUACGUCUACAAUGUAUGAAUCAACAGUUUAUUUGUGUAUUCAUUCUAUUUAUAUAUCAAAAAGUUUUAUAUUUUUUAUUUUUACAUUGUAUUUCAAUCUCAAUUAGUAUACCAACAUGUUUGUAUUUCCUUCUUAAUUUGUAUCCGUCCUAACUGUAUGAUAACAAUUUUAUAUUUCAUUGGGUAUUCAUUCUGUAUUUCAAUCUCAAUUUAUAUGUGAACAAGUUUGUAUUUCUCUUUGUUUUUGUAUUCUACCUAAUUGUAUAUUAACAAGUUUUGUAUUUUAUGUGUCU
rnacentral:lncRNA from 1 species